AUUGAACGCUGGCGGCAUGCCUUACACAUGCAAGUCGAACGGCAGCACGGGAGCAAUCCUGGUGGCGAGUGGCGAACGGGUGAGUAAUAUAUCGGAACGUGCCCAGUCGUGGGGGAUAACGUAGCGAAAGCUACGCUAAUACCGCAUACGAUCUAUGGAUGAAAGCGGGGGAUCGCAAGGCCUCGCGCGAUUGGAGCGGCCGAUAUCAGAUUAGGUAGUUGGUGGGGUAAAGGCUCACCAAGCCAACGAUCUGUAGCUGGUCUGAGAGGACGACCAGCCACACUGGGACUGAGACACGGCCCAGACUCCUACGGGAGGCAGCAGUGGGGAAUUUUGGACAAUGGACGCAAGUCUGAUCCAGCCAUUCCGCGUGCAGGAUGAAGGCCCUCGGGUUGUAAACUGCUUUGUACGGAACGAAAAGGUUUCUAUUAAUACUAGGAGCUCAUGACGGUACCGUAAGAAUAAGCACCGGCUAACUACGUG
rnacentral:rRNA from 1 species